GUCUUGGUCAAUGCGGUCAAAUUAUUUCAUUGUACAAGUCAGCAUGAGGUAUCAAAACUAUUCAAAUUUUGUUACGUAUCAAUAUUUUGAAUAUAAGGAGGACAUGCUGGCACCCUAAAUUUAUGCGAAACAAAAAUUUGUUGUUAUCAGCUGGUUAUUGUAUUGCAAUAUUGCAAUCCAUUGUAUUAUACAUUGAAUCCUGAUAUAAAAAAUAUGGCUGAAUUACUAUGCGGGUAUAUAUGGUAUAUAGAUUUACAAAUUUAAGUGCACAUAUGGUCAGUUUUGGUGGAAGUGCUCAAAAUAUUUUGUUGUACAAGUCAGCAUGAGGUAUCAAAACACUGUAAUUUUGAUACGUAUCAAUAUUUUGAAUAAAAGGAGGACAUUCUAGCACCCUAAAUGUAUGCGAACACAAAUUUGUUGUUAUUGUAUUGCAAUAUUGCUGUCCAUUGUAUUGUACAUUGAAUCCUAACACAAAAAAUAUGGCUGAUUUACUAUACAGGUAUAUAACUUUACAAAUUAAAGUGUAAAUAUGGUCAGUUUUAGUUGAUGCGGUCAAAUAAUUUUGUUGUACAAGUCAGCAUGGUCAGCAUGAGGUAUCAAAACUACUGAAAUUUUGUUACGUAUCAAUAUUUUGAAUUAAAGGAGGACAUGCUGGCACCCUAAAUUUAUGCGAACACAAAUUUGUUGUUAUUGUAUUGCAAUAUUGCUGUCCAUUGUAUUAUACAUUGAAUCCUGACAUAAAAAAU
rnacentral:lncRNA from 1 species